rnacentral:rRNA from 1 species
CAACGGGUGAGUAACGCGUGAGGAACCUGCCUCAAAGAGGGGGACAACAGUUGGAAACGACUGCUAAUACCGCAUAAGCCCACGGGUCGGCAUCGACCUGAGGGAAAAGGAGCAAUCCGCUUUGAGAUGGCCUCGCGUCCGAUUAGCUAGUUGGUGAGGUAAUGGCCCACCAAGGCGACGAUCGGUAGCCGGACUGAGAGGUUGAACGGCCACAUUGGGACUGAGACACGGCCCAG